GAUGAACGCUAGCGGCAGGCUUAACACAUGCAAGUCGAGGGGUAUAGGUAGCUUGCUGCCUAGAGACCGGCAAACGGGUGCGGAACACGUACGCAAUCUGCCCUUAUCUUGGAGAUAGCCCAUAGAAAUGUGGAUUAAUACCCAAUAGUAUAUUAAAGUGGCAUCACUUAAAUAUUAAAGAACUUCGGAUAAGGAUGGGU
rnacentral:rRNA from 1 species